GACGAACGCUGGUGGCGUGCUUAACACAUGCAAGUCGAACGGAAAGGCCCUGCUUUUGUGGGGUGCUCGAGUGGCGAACGGGUGAGUAACACGUGAGUAACCUGCCCUUGACUUUGGGAUAACUUCAGGAAACUGGGGCUAAUACCGGAUAGGAGCUCCUGCUGCAUGGUGGGGGUUGGAAAGUUUCGGCGGUUGGGGAUGGACUCGCGGCUUAUCAGCUUGUUGGUGGGGUAGUGGCUUACCAAGGCUUUGACGGGUAGCCGGCCUGAGAGGGUGACCGGCCACAUUGGGACUGAGAUACGGCCCAGACUCCUACGGGAGGCAGCAGUGGGGAAUAUUGCACAAUGGGCGGAAGCCUGAUGCAGCAACGCCGCGUGCGGGAUGACGGCCUUCGGGUUGUAAACCGCUUUCGCCUGUGACGAAGCGUGAGUGACGGUAAUGGGUAAAGAAGCGCCGGCUAACUACGUG
rnacentral:rRNA from 1 species